UGCUCAUAUCCCACAGUUUCACCUUAUAGUUUUCGGACAACCUGGUCUUGAUUUUCAGUGGGCAUUUAAUGGCGUUCAUAUAAUUCACAAUGCUUCUUUCCAUUAGUAGAAUCAACCAAGGGUUGAUUGUGUCUCCUCCCCAAAGCUGCUCACAUUGGCAGUUUUUCUAUCUUCCUUGCUUCAAGGGCCUCACACUGCUCAUGAUUAAUCACUGUCUUUUAACAUUUUCAAUAACAGGACUACUUCCUCAGCCCUGGAAACUAUAGAGAAGGCUAUCAUCCCUUACUGCACACAUGAAAAGUGAGCAAACACAUCAUCAUGGAUAAGGUGUGUCUGACAGAUGGGAAAGCCACCAAGUUAUCGGAGAACGCUUGCCUGUCUGUCCUCCAACAGUUUUUGGAACUCCUGCCCAGACAGCCAGAUGCUGCAGAAACAGGACCACUGUGAAGAAGCCUUGGGAGAAACACAGGGAUAUGCUGUCUACAUCUGGUUUUCUCAACAACCACAAGAAAGCAUUGGGUUUGCUGAUUAAUUGUUUCUAGUUGCCUAUUUUGAUUGACCCAGUAGAACUCUGUAUUAGCAUGUGUCUUCAGGUAGACCAAUAAAAUUCAUGCCACAAUUGGCAGCUUCUA